UCGCUGCAUGUGCAUGCACGGAGGGGGCUGGAAUGGUCACAGCAUAGAAACAGACGGUCUGGCUGAAUGCAUAGUUGGUGGCUGAGUUAAAUCAAAUUCAGUUGUUUAUCUUGUUGACAGUAUAUUUCCAGAAAUAGAGGAACGCAAAUUGACGGCUGGAAAUUGAACAUUCUUUACUUGAGUAUCACAUGCAAUAAGCUUUUCAUGCACGCGGGGACAUUCGUCGGUUCUAUAAAGGGAAAUGUACCAUCGUUUCUGUGAAAAUUAAAGAAAAGCUCUCAACAUACGCAAUAUAAAUGCGCAUAACUGAAUUGUAUUCCCAUGACCCACAUGGAUUUGAAAACAAUAAAAUGAUCUGUGGGCCGCAUUUCAUGUUUCGUUGACGUGAAGAUUUAUUAAUGCAAGGCUGAUCAAAAACAAUUGAAACCACGGUGGAAUAGGCUCCAACUCGUCCAAAUAUUCCGUAGAAGAGGUAACAGAAUAUUCUGGCAUUUUGGUGGUGGUGGAGUUGGUCGUGAUGUUGGUGGAGAAAUGUCGUCUUAAAC